UAUAUUCCAAUAUAAGCAAAAUAUGUUACACUAACCAUGUUAUUUGAGAAAAUAGCUAUGGCAAUAAAGAGUCAAAGUAAUAAGCUUGUUGGACCCGGGGGCGGUACCCGGCGCCUCCACCAAAAACACAUAUUAUUGAUGAGGUGAAGAUUGAAAAAAGAGAUUUUUUCAAAAUAAGGGGGCGAAAUAGGAUAGACAAGAGUGUAAAGGUUGAAAGUUUGCUCGGUAUGGUACCACCGUUAUCGGACUAAAAACAUAGUUGCAAAUGACAACUCUGCUAGAGAGGUUCGCCUGGCUGCUUAAGCCAUGUGACUUCUCAAAUUAAGCCCUGACGGAUAGCACUGUCAGGCGGGGUUUGGGGGCACCUGCCAACAGAAGCCCCCGUA
rnacentral:tmRNA from 1 species